GUAGAGAAUUGAGAGUAUGAGAUGGAGAGUGUAGAGAUUAGAGAGAGAUUAGAGUGAGAGAGAGAUCAUCCAUUAAUUAGCAAAUAUUCUCUAAGAUUUGCAAAUCCCCUUUAAAGAUCACAAGAUCAAAUUCAAUCUUGCAAAGCCAAAUCUCUCUCUCCCUCACUACAAUUUUCGGCCAACAUCUCUCUCUCCCUCACACAAUUUUCGCCCAUCAUCACUCAUCUCCUUCACCUCACACUUCCACCAUUUUCCACCAUUAGAGCAAACCUUCGAAGCUUCCAACAAUACUACCAAACACCUCACAUCACUCUAAAACUUUCCAUAAACACUAUCUAUCCUCUUUUAAUCAAGAGAUUCCUUGAAGAAGAGCCUCAAAAUUUAGAGUGAGAAAGUGUAGACUUUGGUAAGAACUUGGACACGAGCAGAGCAAGGAAGUAAGUAACUCCACUUUGACGGGAGUUUUUGAGUAAGGUCUUCAGGCUAAGCGAGGAGUGAGAUUGGUCUGGUGCUGGUGGGGAUUCGUUAGAUGACGUAUUUACUUUAUCGUAUUUCCUUUUUAUCGAUAAAGUCUUGAUGUGAAGUUACUUUAAAUAUGAAUCAAGUAAUAUACUCACGGUUAUGUGUCUCCAUACAUGUAACUGGUUCGCCUUUUGCUGCGAUA